rnacentral:rRNA from 1 species
UGUGCUAAUGCCGCAUAAUCUCUCAGGAGAAAAGCAGGGGAUCGCAAGACCUUGCGCUUUAGGAGCGGCCGAUGCCUGAUUAGCUUGUUGGUAAGGUAAAAGCUUACCAAGGCUUCGAUCAGUAGCUGGUCUGAGAGGACGACCAGCCACACUGGGACUGAGACACGGCCCAGACUCCUACGGGAGGCAGCAGUGGGGAAUUUUGGACAAUGGGGGAAACCCUGAUCCAGCCAUGCCGCGUGAGUGAAGAAGGCCUUCGGGUUGUAAAGCUCUUUCAGCCGGAACGAAACGGU